GAGGCGUUUCUCUGACAGAUCUCUGAAGUGCUGCGAGUAGCCGGACCUAGGGCCUCCGUGUGCCCGGGCGGUCUGCAGAGCCAGCCCCUGCGGGGGCUGUCGAGCGGGGCGGAAGUGGGGAACUUGAGCAGGGGUGCACGUGAGUUGCUGCGGCAAGUCCGUCACGUGCCCUGUCCACUGGACAGUGCUGAGCAAUCGUCGUUAACGUGCAAUAAACAGCCGUUAAACCUCUCACCUGAGCAGGGCGCGAUCAACGCCAUACCACGGCAAGCAUGGAGUCUGCUGAGAUUGCCACGGCAGUUACGAGCACUGUGAACACCACACGCAUUAUCCUGCAACGUAUGCAGCACCAGAAUCUGCAAAAGCAGGCAAGGAGGCAACGGCAGCGUGGUGACGAGAGUGAUGAGGACAUGGACACAGACUUCUCUCAAAGCAUGGGCCCUGGCAAUUUGGAUAUCAUCGUGGUAAUGGGGCAGGUUCAUGCCAUGCAAUGCUGAAUCUGGGCCUGGGAAACAAGCACAGACUGGUGGGACCGCAUAGUGUUGCGGGUCUGGGAUGAUUCCCAGUGGCUGCAAAACUUUCGCAUACGUAAAGGCACUUUCAUGGAAAUUUGUGACUUGCUUUCCCCUGCCCUGAAGCACAAGAAUACCAAGAUGAGAGCAGCUCUCACAGUUCACAAGCAAGUGGUGAUAGCCCUCUGGAAGCUUGCAAUGCCAGACAGCUACCGGUCAGUCGAGAAUCAAUUUGGAGCAGGGAAAUCUACUGUGAUCCAAGUAGCCCACGCAAUAAAAGAUCUACUGAUAUCAAGGGUAGUGACUCUGGGAAAUGCUGCAAUUGGAUUCCCUAACUGUGGUGGGGCGAUAGAUGGAACACAUAUCCCUAUCUUGAGACCGGAGCACCAAGGCAGCCAGUACAUAAACCGAAAGGGGUACUUUCCAAUGGUGCUGCGAGCACUGGUGGAUCACAAGGGAUGUUUCACCAACAUCAACGUGGGAUGGCCGGGAAAAGUACAUGACGCUCGCAUCUUUAGGAACUCUGGUCUGUGUGAACGGCUGCAACAAGGGACUUACUUUCCAGACCAGAAAAUAACGGUUGGGGUUGUUGAAAUGCCUAUAGUUAUCCUUGGGGACCCAGCCUACCUCUUAAUGCCAUGACCUGUGAAGCUGUACACAGGCAUCUAAUAGGCUGAGCAAGUGCAGAAUGGCGGUAGAAUGUGCCUUCAGAUGUUUAAAUGCGCGCUGGCGCAGUUUACUGACUCGGUUAGAUUUCAGUGAAACCAAUUUUCCCAUUGUUAUUACGGUUUGCUGUGUGCUCCACAAUAUCUGUGAGAGUAAGGGGGCGAUGUUUAUGGCAGAGUGGGAGGUUGAGGCAAAUCGCCUGGUUGCUGAUUACGUGCAGCUAGACACCAAGGCAGUUAGAAGAGCACAGCAGGGCUUGCUGCACCUCAGAGAAGCUUUGAAAACCAGUUUCAUGACUGGCCAGGCUAUGGUGUGAAAGUUCUGUUUAUCCUUGAUGAAAAUGCACCCCCUUGGUUCUCUCUGCUUCCUUGUAAGCCAACUGCCCUCCCCUCCCCACUUCGAUCACCGCUUGCAGAGGCAAUAAAGUCAUCGUUGUUUCAAA